rnacentral:lncRNA from 1 species
UGUUUAAAAAAAUGAAUGUGCAAAAAAUUAGAUGGGAAAAAAAUAAAAUUACCUCCCAGUGCCCCGCUUACUAUGAGUGACUGCCAGUGUUCUGAAAAGCCAAGAGCAGUACAACCUUUGUACAUAGGUGCAUUGUUGGAAAUGAUGAUGGAACUGGGGGCAAUGUAUCUGUAUACAUGCUCCCACAAGACUCUGCGAGUCUUGUUUGGCACCUGGAAUAAAAAAUUUAUCGAUCAUUCACAUGAAAAGAUACAAAAUACAAUAAAACGGAAAUACAUACAUGCCAGUACAUGCUCUCUUUAGUUUCACAAUAUUUAACACCAAAGAUGGUAAUUGUGUAGCUGGAUGUUUGUUGGCCAUCAUUGUACUUUCGUCUCCCUUAAUGUUUCAUCGAACUGAAGUUGGGAAGAAAAUGCAUAAAAAUACACAAAAUGAUCAUAAUAGGAUAAAAAGUAGAUACAAACUUCUACAUGGAGCCCAGGACCUCCAAUCUGUAGAGGCAUAUGGGAGACUGCAAGCUCUGCC